rfam:Tamlana nanhaiensis strain FHC16 contig3, whole genome shotgun sequence.
UAUCUUUGCGGCUUGAAAGAACGUCUUUCAUAUACAUAAAAAUCAUUUAAAUAAUAUUAGCAUG